rnacentral:rRNA from 1 species
GACGAACGCUGGCGGCGUGCCUAAUACAUGCAAGUAGAAUGCACAGUUUAUACCGUAGCUUGCUACACCAUAAACUGUGAGUUGCGAACGGGUGAGUAACGCGUAGGUAACCUGCCUGGUAGCGGGGGAUAACUAUUGGAAACGAUAGCUAAUACCGCAUAAUAUUGAUUAUUGCAUGAUAAUUGAUUGAAAGAUGCUAUUGCAUCACUACCAGAUGGACCUGCGUUGUAUUGGCUAGUAGGUGAGGUAACGGCUCACCUAGGCGACGAUACAUAGCCGACCUGAGAGGGUGAUCGGCCACACUGGGACUGAGACACGGCCCAGACUCCUACGGGAGGCAGCAGUAGGGAAUCUUCGGCAAUGGACGAAAGUCUGACCGAGCAACGCCGCGUGAGUGAAGAAGGUUUUCGGAUCGUAAAGCUCUGUUGUAAGAGAAGAACGGGUGUGAGAGUGGAAAGUUCACACUGUGACGGUAUCUUACCAGAAAGGGACGGCUAACUACGUG